rnacentral:tRNA from 2 species
GCAUUGGUAGCUUAACGGCAGAGCAUCGGGUCUGAUAAAGUUCGUUAGUAACUUCCUUAUCCCCGAGGGUACCCGUUCGAUCCGGGUUCAAUGCGCCA